rnacentral:rRNA from 1 species
AUGGCGAGCGCGGCGACGUUGAAGAAGGCGGCGAACCGGCUGGUGGUGGAGGAGGCCGCCACCAACGACGAUAACUCCGUGUGCACCCUCCACCCUCACACCAUGGAGAAGCUCUCCAUAUUCAAAGGCGACAUCGUGCUGCUCAAGGGCAAGCGCCGCCACAACACGGUCUGCAUGGCACUGCCCGACGACACCUGCGAGGAGCACAAGCUGAGGAUCAACAAGGUGGCCCGCUCCAACCUGCGCGUGCGCAUCGCCGAUGUCGUGUCCGUGCACCUGUGCCACGAUGCCGAAUUCGGCAGACGCGUGCACAUCCUUCCCUUGGAUGACACCGUCGAGGGCAUCGCGGGGAACCUCUUCGACGUCUACCUCAAGCCCUACUUCGUGGACGCCUACCGCCCGCUCCACAAGGGCGAUCUCUUCCUGGUGCGUGGCGGCAUGCGGAGCGUCGAGUUCAAGGUCAUGGAGAUCGACCCCGCGGUGGAGUACUGCAUCGUGGCGCCCGACACGGAGAUCUUCUGCGAGGGCGAGCCGGUAAAGCGGGAGGACGAGGAGAGGCUUGACGACAUCGGCUACGACGACGUGGGUGGCAUGGGAAAACCGCUGACUCUGAUGAGGGAGCUUGUCGAGCUGCCACUCAGGCAUCCGCAGAUCUUCAAGAGCAUUGGCGUGAAGCCGCCUAAGGGCAUCCUCCUGUAUGGCCCUCCCGUGUCCGGCAAGACGCUGAUCGCCCGCGCGGUCGCCAACAAGACCGGGGCCUUCUUCUUCCUCAUCAACGGCCCAGAGAUAAUGUCCAAGAUGGCCGGAGAGAGCGAGAGCAACCUGAGGAAGGCCUUCGAGGAGGCCGAGAAGAACACGCCCUCCAUCAUCUUCAUUGACGAGAUCGACUCCAUUGCUCCGAACAGGGAGAAGACUCACGGCGAGGUCGAGAGGCGCAUCGUCUCCCAGCUGCUGACUCUAAUGGACGGCACGAAGGCCCGCGCGCACGUCAUCGUAAUGGGCGCCACGAACCAUCCCAACAGCAUCGACCCUGCCUUGAGGCGCUUCGGGAGGUUCGAUCGCGAGAUCGACAUCGGCGUGCCAGACGAGGUCGGGCGUCUCGAAGUGCUCCGCAUCCACACCAAAAACAUGAAGCUGGACGAGGACGUCAACCUUGAGGUGGUUGCCAAGGAUACGCACGGCUACGUCGGCGCCGACUUGGCCGCGCUCUGCACCGAGGCGGCGCUGCAGUGCAUCAGGGAGAAGAUGGACGUCAUCGACUUAGAGGACGACACCAUCGACGCCGAGAUCUUGAACUCCAUGGCCGUCACCAAUGACCACCUUAAGACGGCUCUCGUCGGCACGAACCCGUCUGCGCUACGUGAGACCGUCGCGGAGGUGCCGAAUGUCAGCUGGACCGAUAUCGGCGGCCUCGACGGCGUCAAGAGGGAGCUGCAAGAAACCGUCCAGUACCCGGUCGAGCACCCGGAGAAAUUCGAGAAGUUCGGCAUGUCGCCGUCCAAGGGCGUCCUGUUCUACGGGCCACCAGGCUGCGGCAAGACCUUGCUGGCGAAGGCUAUCGCCAACGAGUGCCAGGCCAACUUCAUCAGCAUCAAGGGGCCAGAGCUGCUCACUAUGUGGUUCGGCGAGAGCGAGGCCAACGUGCGCGAGAUCUUCGACAAGGCACGUCAGUCUGCGCCGUGCGUGCUGUUUUUCGAUGAGCUCGACUCCAUUGCUACCCAAAGGGGUGGCAGAGUGGGCGAUGCCGGCAGCGCGGCGGACAGGGUCCUGAACCAGCUGCUCACCGAGAUGGACGGCAUGAACGCCAAGAAGACGGUCUUCAUCAUCGGCGCCACCAAUAGUCCUGACAUUAUUGACUCUGCCUUGCUCCGUCCCGGCCGCCUGGACCAGCUCAUCUACAUCCCCUUGCCGGACGAGGCCUCGCGGCACCAGAUCUUCAAGGCCUGCCUCAGGAAGUCUCCAGUGGCCAAGGACGUCGACCUCGGAGCGCUCGCAAGGUUCACCUCCGGCUUCAGCGGCGCCGACAUCACAGAGAUCUGCUAG